rnacentral:rRNA from 1 species
CAGUCGCCGCGGUAAUACGAAGGGGGCUAGCGUUGCUCGGAAUGACUGGGCGUAAAGGGCGCGUAGGCGGCGGCCAAAGUCAGGCGUGAAAUUCCUGGGCUCAACCUGGGGGCUGCGUUUGAUACUUGGUUGCUUGAGUGGGGAAGAGGGUCGUGGAAUUCCCAGUGUAGAGGUGAAAUUCGUAGAUAUUGGGAAGAACACCGGUGGCGAAGGCGGCGACCUGGUCCUUGACUGACGCUGAGGCGCGAAAGCGUGGGGAGCAAACAGGAUUAGAUACCCGCGUAGUCCCUGUCUCUUAUAC